AGAGGGCAAGGUGAGACAUGAAGGUGAGGUCCUGGAGGGUAUGGAUGGAGCCAGAUGGGCAGAAACCAGGUUCAGGAAGAAAGGAGACCAGCCCCAAGGUACCAGGGAUUCACCGUGGCCUUUAUAGGGUACCCCAUUUCAGCUCAGUGUGACAGGAGGCCACAGGAUGCAUGGUCUAUAUCUUGGUGCCAGCAUCAUGGAGAAGGGUCAUUGAAAGUCUCUGGCUCAUGUGCUUCUGGUACAAGCAGCAAACUACCCCAAUAAGAAGUAAACAAGGGACCACAAGAUGGCUCACUG